CAACUCACUGAAAGAAAACCCAUGAAUCCCAAGGCCAAGUGCGAGGUCUGGUAGAACCAGUUUGCAGUCUCUUACCGGCAGUGGAACUCGUCGUAUCAAGUUUCUCUUCACAUUUUGAUAGUAGUCUAGAAAUCACGAUUGAUAUUACAUCGUCGUUUGUUGGUUAAAUAUUACCAAAACCUAUAAUUCAUCACCCUCUAUGUAUAACCAGGUAGUUUCAUGUCUAGAAAAGGGUCUAGUUAUUUGGGAUGGUAGUGGUAUAAAUAUUCGUUUGUAGCUGAAUCGCUAAAGCUUCUUGGAAAAAAUAUUAAGAUGAUAGCCAAAAUAAUUCAAAUUUAGCCACUUUUAUUAUUAAAUAUUUGUAUUAAUUGUUAAAGAAUAGUUUUACCACAUACAUUGCAAGAACAGUGUUUCUAUGCUCACAUUAGAGCUACAAAUUCUCUACGCCACUGUUUCAAGGUAUCUGGUUUGUUACAUCGGGUUUUUUAAACAGUGAACAUUUUGAAUGUGCUCUUAAAAUGCACAACCACAAACAAAAAAUGGAAUAUUGAAAAAAAAGGCUUUGCUAAUAUACCCUUUCUUCUUUAGGAACUUCGUAAUUAUAAAUAUACAUUUUACAGACUCCAAGCAGUUGUUUCGCUCUGCUUUUCUUAGGAACAGAGCAUAUUGUACGUGCAUCUCAGGAUGACAAGGAGACUGUGGUGACGGGGAGGACAGCAGUGUCUGGCAUUGUACUACAGCUUGACGAAAAAAGAAAGUUCACUUUUAACUAAAUACUUGUAAUCAAAAAUAUAUAUAUAUACCCAAACACACAUAUACCUAAUAAAACAAAAACAAAACAAAAAAAUACACAUGCGAGUACUCACAAAAGCAAACAAAACAAACCAACAACCAGGUAGUACCCUCUCCACCCCGCAAAAAAAAAUAAAAAACAAAGUGCAAACGCGCACAAAUUUAAACACAGCAGUAUAAAAAAAAAAACGCGCACCGCAGCACUGUACCGUCAGUUAAUCGUAGCUUCCCCUGAGUCUUUAAUUCUUAACAAAGAACAGCAGCAUGGGGCGCUGAGCACACAGUCUCUGGAGAUGGUUCACAGUACAGUUCCCUUUCUGAAUGCAGGCGUAGAACCUGUAGACGUAGACAUCACAAAUGAAGAAGUGUAGAAUGGCUGAUAAUAACACAGAUGAAUGCUCGUCGAAAAAAAAAAAAAAAAAUGCGUGGAGACAGGACAUAAGGCACGUACGCAUAGCACGUAUACACAGGAAGUACACAGUAAAUACACACCAAGGGCGUGCACAACGGACAUACACAAAAAGCCUGAAAUAAAUAAAAGAACAACGGUCACUAAGAGGCUACAGGAAAAAAUAACAAAACUUCCCCCUCCAUGACCCCACCAGCAGCAACCAGCACUCAAGCCGAAGUCACGUGAUGUAGCAAGCCCGUGACUUCAGGUGCUGCUACAGACAGCGGGAGAAGGCCUUGACCUUUUCCCGCGCACCGGACAAAAAUAGCCUGAAAACAAACGUCAUCCGUCGUCUGCUGAGAGCUACCUUUCCAAUACAGGAGCGACCCCAAGCGCUGAGAGAAAUGCAGGCCUAGAAGAAAGCAUGACACGCGACAUAAGGAAAUAAACAUUGAAUAAGAGCCUGGGGUCAUCAGACGAUCACCGGAGUAGUCUUCAUGGAAUGUAUGGGUAGAGAAGCUCCGAGGAACAGUCAAGGAUCACGAUAAAAAGAAGUCAGACAUCAAGAGAAAAGUACCUCAUCAUUCUUGUUGUCAUGUUUGCUGUCUUCUUAUUUGAUGAAACAAA
rnacentral:lncRNA from 1 species